GACAGAGGGUGCAAACGUUGUUCGGAAUUACUGGGCGUAAAGCGCGUGUAGGCAGCAUGCCAAGUCGGAUGUGAAAGCCCUGGGCUCAACCUGGGAAGAGCAUUCGAUACUGUCAAGCUAGAGUCACGGAGAGGAUGGUGGAACUCUCGGUGUAGAGGUGAAAUUCGUAGAUAUCGAGAAGAACACCUGUGGCGAAGGCGGCCAUCUGGACGUAGACUGACGCUGAGACGCGAAAGCGUGGGGAG
rnacentral:rRNA from 1 species